GAUGAACGCUGGCGGCGUGCCUAAUACAUGCAAGUCGAGCGAACGGACGAGAAGCUUGCUUCUCUGAUGUUAGCGGCGGACGGGUGAGUAACACGUGGAUAACCUACCUAUAAGACUGGGAUAACUUCGGGAAACCGGAGCUAAUACCGGAUGAUAUUUUGAACCGCAUGGUUCAAAAGUGAAAGACGGUCUUGCUGUCACUUAUAGAUGGAUCCGCGCUGCAUUAGCUAGUUGGUAAGGUAACGGCUUACCAAGGCAACGAUGCAUAGCCGACCUGAGAGGGUGAUCGGCCACACUGGAACUGAGACACGGUCCAGACUCCUACGGGAGGCAGCAGUAGGGAAUCUGCCGCAAAGGGCGAAAGCCUGACGGAGCAACGCCGCGUGAGUGAUGAAGGUCUUCGGAUCGUAAAACUCUGUUAUUAGGGAAGAACAUAUGUGUAAGUUACUGUGCACAUCUUGACGGUACCUAAUCAGAAAGCCACGGCUAACUACGUG
rnacentral:rRNA from 1 species